UGGAACAGGACGUCACAGAGGGUGAGAAUCCCGUACGUGGCCGCUGGCCUUCGCCAUGUAAAGCCCCUUCGACGAGUCGAGUUGUUUGGGAAUGCAGCUCUAAAUGGGAGGUAAAUUUCUUCUAAAGCUAAAUAUUGGCCAGAGACCGAUAGCGCACAAGUAGAGUGAUCGAAAGAUGAAAAGCACUUUGGAAAGAGAGUCAAAAAGCACGUGAAAUUGUUGAAAGGGAAGCGCUUGCAGCCAGACUUGCUCGUAGUUGCUCAACUAGGCUUCUGCCUGGUGCACUCUUCUGCGAGCAGGCCAGCAUCAGUUCAGGCGGUCGGAUAAAGGUCUUGGGAAUGUGGCUCUCUUCGGGGAGUGUUAUAGCCCAGGGCGCAAUGCGACCAGCCUGGACUGAGGUCCGCGCAUCUGCUAGGAUGCUGGCGUAAUGGCUGUAAGCGGCCCGUCUUGAAACACGGACCAAGGAGUCUAACAUCUAUGCGAGUGUUUGGGUGUCAAGCCCGAGCGCGCAAUGAAAGUGAACGGAGGUGGGAACCCGCAAGGGCGCACCAUCGACCGAUCCUGAUGUCUUCGGAUGGAUUUGAGUAAGAGCAUAGCUGUUGGGACCCGAAAGAUGGUGAACUAUGCCUGAAUAGGGUGAAGCCAGAGGAAACUCUGGUGGAGGCUCGCAGCGGUUCUGACGUGCAAAUCGAUCGUCAAAUUUGGGCAUAGGGGCGAAAGACUAAUCGAACUAUCUAGUAGCUGGUUCCUGCCGAAGUUUCCCUCAGGAUAGCAGUAACGUUUUCAGUUUUAUGAGGUAAAGCGAAUGAUUAGAGGCCUGGGGGUUGAAACAACCUUCACCUAUUCUCAAACUUUAAAUAUGUAAGAAGUCCUUGUUACUUAAUU
rnacentral:rRNA from 1 species